CCCAGAUACAAUCAAUACCAGGCCGAGGAGGCGACCUAGCGUUCAAUUAGAGACGGAUUGGCCUGGGAUCGAGGCUACCACACUGCUGGACUCAUGUUGACUUGGAACAACUGAAAGCUAACUAUACUACUGGCUCGUAUAGCUACCGUGCAUGGUAAAACAUAAGGAGGCGGAAAAAGGGCGCCCAAUAAUUGAAGCAGAGCAUCUGAGAUUAUAGAGUAAUAAUAAUAUUAUUUGUUAUUAUGACAUCAUUAAUUUUCAGAUUUCUAGGGGAGAAUAAUCCCAGGGCGCUCCCCUCUCUCUGACCCUGGACUAGUCUGUGUGUCUAUGUAGAUUGCUACAGCUGCUCAAGAAUCAAUGAAGUGCAAAUAUACCGGAUUAAUGCUGCAGAAUAAACAGAAACUACAUGUCGAUAUGAUGACUGUUAGAAUAAAAUUACAUGAUUGUGUUUUUUUUGAAAGUUGAAGGAUAUACUCCCAUAACAGGCCCUCCCACUAGAGCUCUAUAUAAAGGACACUAGCUAUGACCAUCUAAGUCCUUUAUGCCGGACUGGAGGACAAGCUUGAUGUUCCCCCAGAGCCAACUGAAACUGACUAGCCUCGAUCCCAGGCCGCACUUCCUGGAAGGAGGCUACCAACCACCUGACAGACAUACAGGAAACCACACCCACAUUUUAUGUCCGUACUGUUAUCAUACUCGCUUACUGCUGCAUGCAAUGAACGUUUGAUUUCAGCAAGUUACAAGUACAGCUUCUUGAAAAAGACGACAAAAAUAUAAACAGUGCAUGAACAUACUAUAGUUAUCUAGUAUUUGAAUGAACCUGUGUCCUUUUUAUUCGGGCUGUAUAUUCGA